CCCUUAGAUGUCCUGGGCCGCACGCGUGCUACACUGACGCCUACAGCGAGUACUUCCCAGCCCCGAGAGGUGGCUGGUAAUCAGCAAUAGGCGUCGUGAUGGGGAUAGAUCUUUGGAAUUAUGGAUCUUGAACGAGGAAUGCCUAGUAAGCGCAGGUCAUUAGCCUGCGCUGAUUAAGUCCCUGCCCUUUGUACACACCGCCCGUCGCUCCUACCGAUUUCGAGUGGUCCGGUGAAAUCUCGGGACGGCGGCUUGGUCGCUUGCGUCCGACUGCUGAAACUUGAUUAAACCAUAUCAUUUAGAGGAAGGUGAAGUCGUAACA
rnacentral:rRNA from 1 species